rnacentral:rRNA from 1 species
AACGAACGCUGGCGGCAUGCCUAACACAUGCAAGUCGAACGAGACCUUCGGGUCUAGUGGCGCACGGGUGCGUAACGCGUGGGAACCUGCCCUUAGGUUCGGAAUAACUCCCCGAAAGGGGUGCUAAUACCGGAUAAUGUCUUCGGACCAAAGAUUUAUCGCCUUUGGAUGGGCCCGCGUUGGAUUAGCUAGUUGGUAGGGUAAAAGCCUACCAAGGCGACGAUCCAUAGCUGGUCUGAGAGGAUGAUCAGCCACACUGGGACUGAGACACGGCCCAGACUCCUACGGGAGGCAGGAGUGGGGAAUAUUGGACAAUGGGAGAAAGCCUGAUCCAGCAAUGCCGCGUGAGUGAUGAAGGCCUUAGGGUUGUAAAGCUCUUUUACCCGGGAUGAUAAUGACAGUACCGGGAGAAUAAGCGCCGGCUAACUCCGUG